UACGUAGGGGGCAAGCGUUUGUCCGGAUUUAUUGGGCGUAAAAAGGCUUGUAGGUGGCCACGCCAAGUCGGAUGUGAAAUCUCCCGGCUCAACUGGGAGGGGUCAUUCGAUACUGGUGGGCUCGAGGCCGGUAGGGGGGAAGCGGAAUUCCCGGUGUAGUGGUGGAAUGCGUAGAUAUCGGGAGGAACACCAGUGGCGAAGGCG
rnacentral:rRNA from 1 species